rnacentral:rRNA from 1 species
ACGUAGGUGGCAAGCGUUGUCCGGAUUUAUUGGGUUUAAAGGGUGCGUAGGCGGUCCUAUAAGUCAGUGCUGAAAUAUCCCGGCUUAACCGGGAGGGUGGCAUUGAUACUGCAGGACUUGAGUAAAGUUGAGGUUGGCGGAAUUGACGGUGUAGCGGUGAAAUGCUUAGAUAUCGUCAAGAACACCUAUUGCGAAGGCAGCUAACUAAGCUUUAACUGACGCUGAGGCACGAAAGUGUGGGGAUCAAACAGGA